CCUACGGGAGGCAGCAGUGAGGAAUAUUGGUCAAUGGGCGGGAGCCUGAACCAGCCAAGCCGCGUGAGGGAAGAAGGUACAGUGUAUCGUAAACCUCUUUUGUGCGGGAACAAAGGCCGGGACUAGUCAUCGGUUGUGGGUACCGGAAGAAAAAGGACCGGCUAAUUCCGUGCCAGCAGCCGCGGUAAUACGGAGGUUGCGUGCGUUAUCCGGAGUUAUUGGGUUUAAAGGGUGCGCAGGCGCCUUGUUAAGUUAGCGGUAAAAGCCCGGGGCUCAACCCCGGCGAGCCGCUGAAAAUGGCGGGCUGGAGUUGGAGGAAGGUACGCGGAAUGCGCGGUGUAGCGGUGAAAUGCUUAGAUAUCACGCAGAACCCCGAUUGCGAAGGCAGCGUACGGGAUCGACACUGACGCUGAGGCACGAAGGCGUGGGUAUCGAACAGGAUUAGAUACCCUAGUAGUC
rnacentral:rRNA from 1 species